GCAAAGUCAUGCUUCUUGGCCCCCAGAGAUUCUCUUUGUUUCACCAGGGAGUAGAAAUGUUUGCCGGAGCAGAACACGAGGGUCUUAACCCUGUUGGACAGAAAAGGAACAAUAGGGUGGGGGAGAAAUUUUUUAAAGUAAGAAUUACGUCAGAAGAGGCCAGGUGCAGUAGCUCACGCCUGUAAUCUCAGCACUUUGGGAGGCCAAGGCGGGCGGAUCACGAGGUCAGGAAAUCAAGACCAUCCUGGCUAACACGGUGAAACCCUGUCUCUACUAAAAAUACAAAAAAUUAGCCGGGCGUACUGGCGGGCACCUGUAGUCCCAGCUACUCGGGAGGCUAAGGCAGGAGAAUGGCGUGAACCCGGGAGGCGGAGCUUGCAGUGAGCCAAGAUCGUGCCACUGCACUCCAGCCUGGGCGACAGAGCAAGACUCAACCUCAAAAAAAAAAAAAAAGAGAAUUAUGUCAGAAGAAACGGGAGACAGUGCAGAUUUAAAGUCCUCAUGAACAAGGUGGUGGGGGUCUCUGCAGCCGAGUUCAGUCACAGGCUAUUCCUGGGGACCCUUCUUCAGCAACAUGCGCCUACAAAGUCCACUUUCCCACCCACACUUAACUCAUACUCCACUGACUUAAAGGACUUAGGAUAGAGGAGGCCAGGCAUGGUGGCUCACGCCUGCAAUCCCAGCACUUUCAGAGGCUGAGGUGGGUGGAUAACCUGAGGUCAGGAGUUCGAGACCAGCCUGGCCAACAUGGUGAAACCCCAUCUCUACUAAAAAUAAAAAAAUUAGCAGGGUGUGGUGGCGGGCACCUGUAAUCCCAGCUACUUGGGAGGCUGAAGCACAAGAAUCACUUGAAUCCGGGAGGCGGAGGUUGCAUAGAGCUGAGAUUGCACCACUGCCCUCCAGCCUGGGCAAUAGAGCCAGACUCAGUCUCAAAAAUAAAUAAAUAAAUAAAUAAAUAAAUAAAUAAAUAAAUAAAAAUAGGAGAGGGGAGAUCUGCAUCACCUGUGAUCUCUUAAUGUGAACUACUUUUCCCAUUAAUUAAAAUUCUGCCACAGAAUAUGAAAACAGAGAUACAUAUCUUACUUUUUUGGAUCCACAGAUGAAUCACCAAUGACCGGGUUAAAUGUUGUUCCUGGUGCCAUUUCUUGAAGAGUUGACACGGCUGCCUACGAGGGAGAAGAGGCCACACAUCCAGCAAGCAACAGAAAGAGGUGAUGCUGUCACUUACAAGGGCCGCUAUCAAACACGAGUACCAAAGUUCUAGCCUAGCACUGCAAGGAGACCCAUGUCCUAAUAGACGCAAUGCCUUGCCAAAAAAUAUCAGUUCUGUAUACUUCAGGGUAAAACUAUGUUUCUGAGGUUACAUAAGAUAGCCUUUUGGAAUCUUAACACUUUGGGAGGCCAAGGCAGGAGGAUCGCUGGAGGCCAGUUCAAGACCCGCCUGGGCAACAUAGCGAGACUCCCUUUGCACCCCCUACUCCACCAUCCCCACUGGUGCCUUGCCUCUAUUAAAAAAAAAAAAAAAAAAAAAAAAGGUGCCGUGGCUCAUGCCUGUAAUCCCAGCACUUUGGGAGGCCAAGGUGGGCGGAUCACCUGAGGUCAGGAGUUUGAGACCAGCCUGGCCAACAUGGUGAAAUCCCAUCUCUACAAAAAUAUAAAAAUACAAAAAUUAGCUGGGCAUGAUGGCGGGUGUCUGUAAUCCCAGCUACUCAGGAGGCUGAGGCGGGAGAAUUGCUUGAACCCAGAAGGCAGAGGGUGCAGUGAGCUGAAAUCGCACCAUUGCACUCCAGCCUGGGCAACAGAGCAAGACCUCAUCCGAAACAAAACAAACCAAAACUGGCCAGUUGCAGUGGCUCCAGCCUGUGAUCCUAGAACUUUGGGAGGCUGAGGCAGGUGGAUUGCUUGAACUCACAAGUUUGAGACCAGCCUAGGCAAGAUGGUGAAACCCCAUCUCUACAAAAAAAUACAAAAAUUGGCCAGGUGUGGUAGCGCAUGCCUGUAGUCCCAGCUACUCAGGAGGAUGAGGUGGGAGGCUAGAAGUUUGAGCUUGGGAGGCGGAAGUUGCAAUGAGCCAUGAUCAUGCCACUGCACUCCAGCCUGGGUGACAGAGCCAGACCUUGUCUCAAAAAAAAAAAAAGAAAAGAAAAAGACUGGGCGCGGUGGCUCAUGCCUAUAAUCCCAGCACUUUGGGAGGCAGAGGUGGACAGAUUGCCUGAUAUCAGGAGUUCAAGACCAGCCUGGCCAACAUGGUGAAACCCCGUCUCUACUAAAAUUAUAAAAGUUAGCUGGGCGUGGUGGUGCAUGCCUGUAAUCCCAGCUACUGGGGAGAGUGAGACACAAGAAUUGCUUGAACCUGGGAGCCGGAGGUUGCAGUGGGCUGAGAUCACACCAUUGCACUAUAGCCUGGGUAACAGGAAACUCCAUCUCAAGAAAAAAAAAAAGUAAAAAGAUUGCCUUCUGUGCUCAUUUUGGCAGCACAUAUACUAAAAUUAGAACACUGCAGAGAAGAUUAGCAUGGCCCCUGCACAAGGAUGACAAUAAAAAUUAAAAAAUGAAUUUAAGAAAAGAUUACCUUUUGCCUGGUGCCACGACAUAAUUUUAAGAAUCAGGCCAGACGUGGUGGCUCAUGCCUGUAAUCCCAGCACUUUGGGAGGCCGAGGCAGGCAUAUUGCUUGAGGCCAGGAGUUUGAGACCAGCCUGGCCCACAUGGCGAAACCUCGUCUCUAUUAAAAAUACAAAAAUGAGCCAGGCAUGGUGGUGCAUGCCUGUAAUCCCAGCUACUUGGGAGGCUGAGGCAGGAGAAUUGCUUGAACCCAGGAAAUGGAGGUUGCAGUGAGCUGAUAUUGUGCCAUUGCACUCCAGCCUGGGUGACAGAGCAAAACUCUGUCUCAAAAAAAAAAAAAAAAAAAAUUGCUGGGUGUGGUGGCACACACCUAAUAGUCCCAGCUACGUCGGAGGCUGAGGCCUUGCUUGAACUCAGUAGGCAAAGGUUGCAGUGAGCUAAGAUUAUGCCGCUGCAUGCCAGCCUAGGCAACAAAGCGAGACUCUCAAAAUAACAAAAAAAAGAAAAAAAAGAGCCCCAUCAGAAAAAUGGUGCUAAAGGCAUUGCAUUAACUCUUCCUAAAUGUUUGGUGAUGCUUCCAGGCUUAUGAGGUCACCUAGAAAUAUAUAAGGUUGUUUGCGAAACACUGGGUGAGAAAGAACCGGUAGACCACUAUAAGUGAACUAAAAAUGAAUGGCUGCUAUUGGUAAGACUACUGAAAUCCAUUUCCUGGCUAUUGACUAGAUACUGACUCCCAGGGCCAGGCUAGGGUGAGUCAAGUAAGGUACCUAGUGCAAAAAGUUUAAGGAGGCACUGAUUUUAGGGCCAUGAAAAUAUCGCCCCUGAGAAUGAGUACCUCCCUACUCCCCUCUGAAUGCUAAAAACUGCUUAAAACAACGAGGCCAGGCAUAGUGGCUCACACCUAUAAUCCCAGCAUUUUGGGAGGCCGAGUCAGCCCAAUCACUUGAGGCCAGGAGUUCGAGACCAGCCUGGCCAACAUGAUGAAACUCUGUCUCUACUAAAAAUACAAAAAUUAGCUGAGCAUGGUGGUACAAGCCUGUAAUCCCAGCUACUGGGGAGGCUGAGGCUGGAGAAUUGCUUGAGCCUGGGAGGCGGAGUUUGCAGCGAGCGAGCCAAGAUCGCGCUCUCCACUCCAGCCUGGGCAACAGAGCGACACUCCAUCUCAAGAAACUGUUCAAACAGGCCGGGAGCGGUGGCUCAUGCCUGUAAUCCCAGCACUUUGGGAGGCCGAGGCGGGCGGAUCACGAGGUCAGGAGAUCGAGACCAUCCUGGCUAACACAGUGAAACCCUGUCUCCACUAAAAAUACAAAAAAUUAGCAGGUCGUGGUGGCAGGCGCCUGUGGUCCCAACUACUCAGGAGGCUGAGGCAGGAGAAUGGCCUGAACCCGGGAGGCGGAGCUUGCAGUGAGCCGAGAUCGCAGCACUGCACUCCAGCCUGGGCGACAGAGCGAGACUCCGUCUCAAAAAACCAACCAACCAACCAACCAACCAACCAACCAACCAACCAACCAAGGGGUGGAAGCAAAUCACUCGCAGCUUUUCUUCAGUACCCCUCAAUUCCAAAUAUACACUCUCGAACCUUUGUGAGCAGCACAAGAUAUUCUUGAAUGGCCAAAUUCUAAACGUCUUAUUUCACCUCAGCAGUCAUAUCCAAAUAAAUGUAAAAACUGUAAUACUCCCGGCCGGGCACGGUGGCUCAUGCCUGUAAUCCCAGCACUUCGGGAGGCCAAGGCAGGUGGAUCACAUGAGGCCAGGAGUUCCAGACCACCUGUCCAACACAGUAAAACCCCAUCUCUACUAAAAAUACAAAAAUUAGCCAGGCAUGGUGGCGAGUGCCUAUAAUCCCAGCUACUCAGGAGGCUGAGGCAGGAGAAUCGCUUGAACCCGGGAGUUGGAGGUUGCAGUGAGCUGAGACAGCACCACUGCAAUCCAGCCUGGGUGAUAGAGUGAGACUCCGUCUCAAAAAAAAAAAAAAAUUUAAUACUAAUUCUAAUUAAAACUCAUAUGAACCUGAAAAAAGUAUAGCAGAUGGGAUAAAUAUAUGCUUAGUAGUAUUUAUUAUUUUGAACAUUUCUAUUUGGAAACUAGCAUAUUUUUGUGAUUUGAAAAACAAUGUACACUUAACAGAUAAAUAGGUAAACCUACGUAUGUGUUAAAUGAUAAAAUGAUAAAUUUCACGCCACUGCACUCUAGCCUGGGCAACAGCACAAGACUCCAUCUCAAAAAGAAAAAAAAAAAAAAGAAUGACAAAUAAUGCCACUCAUUUUCAACAAAAUACUUUGAAUUCCCAAAUUGCUGCUAUCAAAAAAAAUAGUGCUUAGACCAUAUGGGCUUUAAAACUUUUUCUUUUCUUUUUCAGACAAUGUCUUGCUGUGUUGCCCAGGCUGGAGUGUAGUGGCAUGGUCAUACGUCACUGCAGCCUUGAACUCCAGGGCUCAAAAGAUGCUCCCAUCUCAGCCUCCUGAGCAGCUGACAGCACAGGUGUGAGCCACCACACCGGCCAAUUUUUUUUUUCAGAGAUGGGGUCUUGCAAUGUUGCCCAGGUUGCUCUCAAACUCCUGGGCUCAAGCAAUCCUCUUGCCUAGGCCUCCCAAAGUCCUGGAAUUAUAGGCAUGAGCCACCAUGCCCAGCCUAAUAGCCUAAAAGCUUUUCUAAAUAGUAUUUCUGCUCAGGAGGGCACUAGUAUAACAUCUGCUAUCCCUGUCCUUCAUUACAAUUGACAGAAAACCUACCUAUCUUUCCAGGUAGUCUUAAAAGGCUGUUUAAAAAAUGAAAGCAGGCUGGGUGUGGUGACUCACGCCUGCAAUCCCAGCACUUUGGGAGGCCGAGGCGGGCGAAUCACCUGAGGUCAAGAGUUAGAGACUAGUCUGGCCAAGAUGGCGAAACCCCAUCUCUACUAAAAAUACAAAAAUUAGCUGGGUGUGGUGGCACAUGCCUGUAAUCUCAGCUACUUGGGAGGCUGAGGCGGGAGAAUCGCUUAAACCCAGGAGUCAGAGGUUGCAACGGGCCGAGAUUGCACCAUUGCACUCCAGCCUGGGCGACAGAGCAAGACUGCGUCUCAAAAAACAACAAAAAAAAUGAAAGUAGCAAAGUCAGUUGAAACUAAAAAGGUGUUUCUGUAAUUUAAAUAUAAUUAGAUAUGGAAAAUAGGGAAAAAUGGAGUGCAAAAAAUGACAAAAGGAGGAAGGCUUAUUCACCACCUUCUGCUUACCGGGAGCCUGAGUAACAUCUUAGGGGAAGCAACAAUGAGUGGUUUUCUGAAGUUCCGGACCAUCUGUCUCCUAAGCAAGUGGAAAUACUGUGCAGGAGUUGUUGGGUGAACCACAAACAUGUUCACAGUGUCUCCGUCCACCCCCUCUUCCGCACUGUCACACAUCUGGGAGAGAAGUGGCAAGAAAGGAGAAGAAUGUUCAGAUCAUCUAUUUCAGUCGUAGUGACAAUGGGCUGGCCAAAGGGAAACACAGGUGUUCUUGAUUAUAGCAGAAAAGCUAUUGCCCAACAUUACAGAAAAAUAUCAGCAGGUGAAUUUAUGAACGGUGCGGUAUUAACCAAAGGAGAGCUCUGAUGGCUUUCUCCACUGGCCCAAUUCUGUGUCAUCUAACACAAUUGUUCCCAAACACGGCUGAUAGCAAAGAUAAUCUGGAAAGGACUUUUUUAAAAAAAAUACAUAUUCUGAUUACUACAGGGUUAAGACAGGGGAAGGAAGCACUAUCAGAAUCUCACUUUCCUAAUGUAAUAAAACGAUUGUGUGUGUGUGUGUGUGUGUGUGUGUGUGCACGCGUGCUUUAAGACAAAAAUCAAAAGCAGCUAAUAGAAAGGUUGAAAAAUUGAGGGCAAGGAAGUUAAAUCUCAGAAGAUCCUGGUGGGACAGAAAGCUGAGGCAUAACUCCUAACCCUUCCCCAAAGGCAGUGAAAGGAAAGAAAGAGAGUUGACAAAAUCUGGACAAUUAUUUUUGUUGUUGUUACAGAGUCUCGUUCUCUCACCCAGGCUGGAGUUCAGUGGCAUGAUCAUAGCACACUGUAACCCCAAACUCUGGACUCAAAAGCAAUCCUCCCACCAGAGCCUCCCAAGUAGCUGGGACUACAGGUGCCUGCUACCACACCUGACUAAUUUUAAUAUUUUUGUAGAGAUGGGGUCUUGUUAUGAUGCCCAGGCUGGUCUCAAACUCCUGGGUUCAAGCGAUCCUCCCGCCUCAGCCACCCAAAGUGCUGGGAUUACAGGCAUGAGCCACCAUGCCUGGCCUCAAUCAUGAUCAUCUUCUUUUUGCAUACACCCUUGAUUCCCAUGACCCUUCACUCCAACCCAUAAACCUAGUUAAUCCCCACUUUCUGCCUGUUCCAUGUCUGCAGAGAAAGUAGCUGGAGACAACACAAAAUCACACCAAUGGUCUUACUUUAGAAUCCUGACCAACAGUCUGAGAUGGGCCCUUAGUGACCUUAGACUCUUAAACUCUAUUUCCCUAACUCACUCAUUCUCCUUCUUUCCCAGGUGACUAAUUCACACCUUUAAACUCAGGACCUCCUCCUGCAUCACCACUCUCAGCUAAUGACCUAACAGCAUGUCCUCAGACCAUCUACACACACAUUCUCACUUGCACUCAUCUUCUCUGCCUUCCAUUUAUUGCCACCAACCAUGCUGCUGUCUAAAGCUAAUUUAAUCCAUCAUGUACUAGAGCCCACCCCAUUUUACCAAUGCAAGGAAAUCACUCAGUUAUUCUAUCAGCACCCCUACAUCACCAUUCUCUUCUUGUCUACUGGAUCAUGCCUAUCACCAAACAGGCCUUAUUUCCUACCUUUAACACAAAACAAAGGCCUGGCGCGGUGGCCCAUGCCUGAAAUCCUAGCACUUUGGGAGGCCAAGGUGGGAGGAUCACAUGAGGUCAGGGGUUCAAGAGCAGCCUGGUCAACAUGGUGAAACCCCAUCUCUACUAAAAAUACAAAAAUUAGCCGGGCAUCGUGGCACAAGCCUAUAAUCCCAGCUACUCGGGAGGCUGAGGCAGGAGAAUUGCUUGAACCUGGGAGGCAGAGGUUGCAGAGAGCCAAGACUGCAGCAUUGCACUACAGCCUGGGUGACAGAGCAAGACGCCAUCACAAAAAUAAAAGAAAACACAAAAGGAACUCUUGACACAAAUUUUCCCACCAGCUACUGUCUCAUUUUCUUGUUCUAUUUACAGCAAUACUCCUCAAAAGAGUUAAGUUGAUGUUCCUCCCUUUUUUUUUUUUUUUUUUUGAGACAGGGUCUGGCUCUCUUGCCCAGGCUGGAAUGCAGUGGUGCAACCUCAGCUCACUACAACCUCCGCCUCCCAGGCUCAAGUGAUCCUCCCACCUCAGCCUCC
rnacentral:lncRNA from 1 species